UACGUAGGGUGCGAGCGUUGUCCGGAAUUAUUGGGCGUAAAGAGCUCGUAGGCGGCCUGUCGCGUCGGAUGUGAAAGCCCGGGGCUUAACCCCGGGUCUGCAUUCGAUACGGGCAGGCUAGAGUGUGGUAGGGGAGAUCGGAAUUCCUGGUGUAGCGGUGAAAUGUGCAGAUAUCAGGAGGAACACCGAUGGCGAAGGCAGGUCUCUGGGCCAUAACUGACGCUGAGAAGCGAAAGCAUGGGGAGCGAACAGG
rnacentral:rRNA from 1 species